UUGUAGUACGAGAGGAGGGACGUUUAACACUCUAUUAAAUAAGGGUAGAACACAUAUAUAAAUGGUAAGGCAUUGUCGCCUUUCGGCGGCACUUGGCAGAUCUUUUU